rnacentral:tRNA from 3 species
CGGAUGUAGCCAAGUGGAUCAAGGCAGUGGAUUGUGAAUCCACCAUGC